rnacentral:rRNA from 1 species
UACGUAGGGUGCAAGCGUUAAUCGGAAUUACUGGGCGUAAAGCGUGCGCAGGCGGUUAUGCAAGACAGAUGUGAAAUCCCCGGGCUCAACCUGGGAACUGCAUUUGUGACUGCAUGGCUAGAGUACGGCAGAGGGGGAUGGAAUUCCGCGUGUAGCAGUGAAAUGCGUAGAUAUGCGGAGGAACACCGAUGGCGAAGGCAAUCCCCUGGACCUGUACUGACGCUCAUGCACGAA